rnacentral:tRNA from 1 species
GCGGGGGUAGCCCAGUUAGGUCAAAGGCGUGGGGUUUAGGACCCCAUCUCGUAGGAGUUCGUGUGUUCAAAUCGCAUCCCCCGCACCA